GGCUACGUAGAGGCAAGGGAAGUGGCCCCAGCGGCGACUGGGCUCCGUACCCGGCUAAGGUGGCGGUAGUCUUGGUCCCAAGGCGAGGCCUCGUGGGCCUUCAGGUGCGGCCUGCUCUGUGUGCGCGGGGUGGCGUUCGUGCCGACGGCCGUUUCCACGGUCAGUUCGCAACCUGGCAUCUGAGCGGCUGGGGGUAGGACCAACCAGCGCCCCGCAGCUCAAGUCCUAGGCCCGCCGUGAAGCUGCUGGAUGCUACCAAGUACUUCUUUGAAUUCUUCGAUGUACGGGAAUGGAGCUUUAAAUUCCAGGGAUGCAGCAAGACACACAGCUGGAGCAAAACGCUACAAGUACCUCAGAAGGCUUUUUCGCUUUCGGCAGAUGGACUUUGAGUUUGCGGCAUGGCAGAUGCUCUACCUGUUCACCUCCCCUCAGAGGGUUUAUAGAAACUUUCACUACCGGAAGCAAACGAAGGAUCAGUGGGCCAGAGAUGACCCUGCCUUCUUGGUCCUCCUAAGUAUCUGGCUCUGUGUGUCCACCAUAGGAUUUGGCUUUGUGCUGGACAUGGGAUUUUUUGAGACAAUAAAGCUGCUCCUGUGGGUUGUGUUCAUAGAUUGUGUAGGUGUUGGCCUUCUCAUAUCAACUUUAAUGUGGUUCAUCUCCAACAAGUACCUGGUGAAACGCCAGAG
rnacentral:lncRNA from 1 species